AACCCACUCGGGUCCCCUUCCACACUGUGGAAGCUUCGUUCUUUCGCUCUUUGCAAUAAAUCUUGCUACUGCUCGCUGUUUGGGUCCACACUGCCUUUAUGAGCUGUAACACUCACCGCGAACAUCUGCAGCUUCACUCCUGAAGCCAGCGAGACCACGAGCCCACCGGGAGGAAUGAACAACUCCAGACGCGCCGCUUCCAGAGCUGUAACACUCACCGCAAAAGUCUGCAGCUUCACUCCUGAGCCAGCGAGACCACGAACACACCAGAAGGAAGAAACUCCGAACACAUCCGAACAUCAAAAGGAACAAACUCCAGACGCGCCACCUUAAGAGCUGUAACACUCAACGCAAGGGUCCGCGGCUUCAUUCUUGAAGUCAGUGAGACCAAGAACCCACCAUUUCCGGACGCAAUGGGAGUAUUUACAUCACAGGAAUUGGCACACACUACAAACUGGUUUUUCCCUUGGAGAGCCAGUUGUUAAGCAUUUACCUGCUCACCAUGGCCAACUCAUUAGGCUUCCUCAGUCCACCUUCUUCCCAUGAACUCAUCUCACAUGACUUCCGGGUUACCAGAUGGAUGAAAGUACUGUUUGUGGCUGAAAGUUGUAACGAGGGGAGUUGUGCCAACUGUUGAUGUAGAGCUUGACAAGGCCUUAGCCGCAUUACUGUUCCACACUGAAGGGGGCACAGGCAAGAGAAUCUCUGGGUCUUGCUCGGUCACCCACACUGACAAUGGAGUGCAGUGGCAUGACCUUGGCUCACUGCAACCUCAGCCUCCCAGGCUGAAGCGAUCCUCUCACCUCAGCCUCCUGAGUAGCUGGGACUACAGGCAUGUGCUACUAUGCCCAGGGGGAGACAGGAUCUCACUCCUGUCACCCAGGCAGGAGUGCAGUGGCACACUCACGGCUCAUUACAGCCUCUUGACCUCCUAGGCUCAAGCGAUCCUCCCACCUCUUUUUUUUUUUUUUUUUUUUGUAGAUGUGAGGUCUCAUUAUGUUGCCCAGGUUGGUCUCAAACUGCUGGACUCAAGCCAUCCUCCUGCCUCAGCCUCCCAAAGUGCUUGGGUUACAGGACUGAGCCACUGAGCCCAGUCUUUCCAUUUUCUUAAUGGUGGUUUUGAAAAGCAAAUAUUUUAAAUUGAGACGAAAUCCAAUUUAUCUCUUUUUUCUAUUAUAGAUUGUGCUUUUGGUGUCAUAUCUAAGAAAUUUCUUCCUAACCAAAGGUCACGAAGAUGUUCUCCACUGCUUUUUUCUAGAUGCUUUAUGAAUUCAACUCUUACAUUUGGGUCUAUGAUCCAUUUUGAGUUAAUAUUUUACACAGUGUGAGGUCAGGGUGGACGUUUCUUAUUAUUUAUGGCAUAAGAAUAUUCAGUGGUUCCAGCACCACUUGUUGAAGAGACUAUCCCUUUUCCUUCCAAUGGCCUUGGCACCUUUGUAAUAAAUCAAUUGAUGAUAU